UACGUAGGCAGCGAGCGUUGUUCGGAGUUACUGGGCGUAAAGAGUGCGUAGGCGGUUUUCUAAGUUUGGUGUGAAAUCUCCCGGCUUAACUGGGAGGGUGCGCCGAAAACUGGAAGGCUUGAGUAUGGGAGAGGUAAGCGGAAUUCCUGGUGUAGCGGUGAAAUGCGUAGAUAUCAGGAGGAACACCAAUGGCGAAGGCAGCUCGCUGGGACGUGACUGACGCUGAGACGCGAAAGCGUGGGGAGCAAACAGG
rnacentral:rRNA from 1 species